UACGAAGGGGGCUAGCGUUGUUCGGAAUCACUGGGCGUAAAGGGCGCGUAGGCGGCUUUGUAAGUCGGGGGUGAAAGCCUGUGGCUCAACCACAGAAUUGCCUUCGAUACUGCAUGGCUUGAGACCGGAAGAGGUAAGUGGAACUGCGAGUGUAGAGGUGAAAUUCGUAGAUAUUCGCAAGAACACCAGUGGCGAAGGCGGCUUACUGGUCCGGUUCUGACGCUGAGGCGCGAAAGCGCGGGGAGCAAACAGG
rnacentral:rRNA from 1 species